rnacentral:lncRNA from 1 species
AUGGGACCGAUCGAGAGAAGCCAUCAGAAAAGAGGGACUUCAGAAGCUGCGGACACUAAUACCAAUACCCAGCAGGAGCUGCGAGGCUGGAGGACGGCAGGACGGCAGCGAUGGGAAGACAAAAGGCAGACGGAAAUUGCUGUCACAAGGGUGGACGAGGCAAUCCAGAAUUGGAGUCACUGGAUCAAAGGGAAUUAGGAAAUCUGCUUUUCAAUAAUCCAAGGAUCAAAUAAGAAAUUACAAUGGAAAUGAGAAUAUAUUUUGAAUACUAAAAACAUGUCAAAGUUCAUGGGUUGCAGUUAAAGCCUUGUUUUAGAAGGAAAUUUAUCACUUAAGAAGUUAAUAAAGACUGAAAAUCAAUUCA